GAUGAACGCUGGCGGCGUGCCUAAUACAUGCGAGUCGAGCGAACAGAUGAGAAGCUUGCUCCUCUGACGUUAGCGGCGGACGGGUGAGUAACACGUGGAUAACCUACCUAUAAGACUGGGAUAACUUCGGGAAACCGGAGCUAAUACCGGAUAAUAUAUUGAACCGCAUGGUUCAAUAGUGAAAGACGGUUUUGCUGUCACUUAUAGAUGGAUCCGCGCCGCAUUAGCUAGUUGGUAAGGUAACGGCUUACCAAGGCAACGAUGCGUAGCCGACCUGAGAGGGUGAUCGGCCACACUGGAACUGAGACACGGUCCAGACUCCUACGGGAGGCAGCAGUAGGGAAUCUUCCGCAAUGGGCGAAAGCCUGACGGAGCAACGCCGCGUGAGUGAUGAAGGUCUUCGGAUCGUAAAACUCUGUUAUUAGGGAAGAACAAAUGUGUAAGUAACUAUGCACGUCUUGACGGUACCUAAUCAGAAAGCCACGGCUAACUACGUG
rnacentral:rRNA from 1 species